CAGAGACAAGCUACACCACUGACUGCUAAAACACAGAAAUCCAACCUGAGAGCUGCUGUUUGAAGGAAGAAAGGCAAGCAGAGCUUCAGCAGACAAUCACCUCUCUAGAGCACCUCCACACCAGGCCUAUCUACACAUGGGUAAAGCUGCCAGAAAUCCUGUAACAAUACGCUGCUGGAUUCAACGUAUGGGCAAAAAGAAUUUAACCAUGGGCUUGACCCUGCCACUGUUGCAGUCAGUGGUAACUCUCCCAGAUGAUUUCAGUGCAACAAGGUCAAUUUUCCUGCUGGGGAGCUGCAAUAUUCCACAAUGUUCACAAAGGAGAGUGUCAGGAGAAAAUAGGUUUUAAAGAUUUAAGAUAAUGGAACUUUCACAAAGGGAUGGAAACUCAACCUGUAAGUAUCUGCACAAGAUGAAAGUCUUGAUUAAUCGAUGAUGCCAAACAAACACGGGCAAUUUUUUGCCCUCUGUAUCUGAAAGCUCAGAUUCUCCAGUUUGUCUGAUUCAAUAAACAUGAUCCAUUAGAUGAUGGAGAAAAUGAA
rnacentral:lncRNA from 1 species